rnacentral:rRNA from 1 species
GCAGCAGUGGGGAAUAUUGCGCAAUGGGCGAAAGCCUGACGCAGCGACGCCGCGUGAGGGAUGACGGCCUUCGGGUUGUAAACCUCUUUCAGCAGGGACGAAGCGCAAGUGACGGUACCUGCAGAAGAAGCACCGGCCAACUACGUGCCAGCAGCCGCGGUAAUACGUAGGGUGCAAGCGUUGUCCGGAAUUAUUGGGCGUAAAGAGCUCGUAGGCGGUUUGUCGCGUCGGCUGUGAAAACUCGGGGCUCAACCCCGAGCCUGCAGUCGAUACGGGCAGACUAGAGUGCUGUAGGGGAGACUGGAAUUCCUGGUGUAGCGGUGAAAUGCGCAGAUAUCAGGAGGAACACCGGUGGCGAAGGCGGGUCUCUGGGCAGUAACUGACGCUGAGGAGCGAAAGCGUGGGGAGCGAACAGGAUUAGAUACCCUGGUAGUCCACGCCGUAAACGGUGGGUGCUAGGUGUGAGCGGUAUUCCACGCCGUUCGUGCCGCAGCUAACGCAUUAAGCACCCCGCCUGGGGAGUACGGCCGCAAGGCUAAAACUCAAAGGAAUUGACGGGGGCCCGCACAAGCAGCGGAGCAUGUGGCUUAAUUCGACGCAACGCGAAGAACCUUACCAAGGCUUGACAUACACCGAAAACUCGUAGAGAUA